rnacentral:piRNA from 1 species
UCAAUGACUUGUAAGGUUUCAGGGUCUGUUU